rnacentral:misc_RNA from 1 species
AGCUCUUGGACAAAGUUAUGGCUUUCAAUCUUUGCAAAAUGGACAAAAGUAUCUUCAAAAGGUUGGUUGAGAUGGGCUGCCAAUUGUGCUACCACCUAGGCACUCCACCUGGACGCCACAUUGGUUGCCAACUAGGAUGGGCUUGCUGACGUGGCUGCUACGUGGCUGCUACAUGUAUGCCACCUUGGAUGGAUGCUACUUGGUCUUUUGGCUCCUUAAAUAUGGAAAGGAAUGUACAGCAAGGUUGGCUUCCCUCUUCCAAGUCCAAACCGAAUACUUGCAACAGGUUGGACUCGGUGAUGUGCUUAUGCACUAAGCCUUGAAGCUUCUUAGCCAUU